rnacentral:lncRNA from 1 species
GGAAUCGGCUCCAGCUGGGAACAGACGGUUUCGAGCUAAUAUCGGGACACAGUUCGUUAAUGUACUCUGGCGUUCUUGGAUUACAGUCGUACGAGACCCGGCCAGUCUCAAAUUUCGUGGAAUCCAAACAUUUACUAUUGGAUUGUUACUUGGACUAAUCUACUUAAACCAAAGCAUCAAUCAAGAAGGAGUGAUGAAUAUUAAUGGUCUGCUCUUCAUUUUGGUGACAAACACUUCGUUUUCGAGUCAGUUCAUGGUUGUUAAUGUAUUUCCUCUCGAGAUGGGUGUGAUUCUAAGAGACUUCAAUAGCAAAUUAUAUUCCGUUGAAAUAUAUUAUUUUUGCAAAACAUUGGCUGAUCUACCGCUGCAGAUUCUCUUCCCGGUGUUACUAAAUGCCAUCGUAUAC